UACGUAGGUGGCGAGCGUUGUCCGGAUUUACUGGGUGUAAAGGGCGUGUAGGCGGGGAUGUAAGUCAGAUGUGAAAUUCCAUGGCUCAACUGUGGGGCUGCAUCUGAAACUAUGUCUCUUGAGUGCUGGAGAGGAAAGCGGAAUUCCUAGCGUAGCGGUGAAAUGCGUAGAUAUUAGGAGGAACACCAGUGGCGAAGGCGGCUUUCUGGACAGUAACUGACGCUGAGGCGCGAAAGCGUGGGGAGCAAACAGG
rnacentral:rRNA from 1 species